CCUACGGGAGGCUGCAGUAGGGAAUAUUGGACAAUGGGUGCAAGCCUGAUCCAGCCAUGCCGCGUGCAGGAAGAAGGCCUUCUGGGUCGUAAACUGCUUUUGCCGGGGGAUAAAAUAGCUAUGCGUAGCGAAUUGAAGGUACCUGGUGAAUAUGCCACGGCUAACUACGUGCCAGCAGCCGCGGUAAUACGUAGGUGGCAAGCGUUGUCCGGAUUUAUUGGGUUUAAAGGCUGCCAAGGCGGUCAAAGACGAAAUACGGCGGCUUAACGGUCGAGGUGCCAUUGAUACUGCUAGACUUGAGUACUGAUGAGGUAGGCGGAAUGGACGGUGUAGCGGUGAAAUGCUUAGAGAUCGUCCAGAACACCGAUAGCGAAGGCAGCUUACUAAGGAGUAACUGACGCUGAGGCACGAAAGUGUGGGGAUCAAACAGGAUUAGAUACCCCUGUAGUC
rnacentral:rRNA from 1 species